GUGCCAGCAGCCGCGGUAAUUCCAGCUCCAAUAGCGUAUAUUAAAGCUGCUGCAGUUAAAAAGCUCGUAGUUGGAUCUCGAGGCGGCCGCGAUGGUCCGGCGGGGAUAGCAGUGGCGUCUCGGUUCUGCCGGUCGUCACUCGCUUCUCCACCAGCCUUGGCGCGCCGCCCCGUCGAGUGUCGGCUCUCUCCCGCGGCCGCUCUUCACUGAACGGCCCGGGCGGCCGACCUUUUACUUUGAAAAAAUUAGAGUGUUCAAGGCGGGCCCGAUGUGCCCGGAUAGCCGCGCAUGGAAUGAUAGAACAGGACCGCCGUCCCGUUCAAACGGCCGGUCUCAGGGGCGGAGGUAAUGAUUGAGAGGGACGGCCGGGGGCAUUCGUACCGCGGCGGGAGAGGUGAAAUUCGAUGAUCGUCGCGAGACGGCCGAGAGCGAAAGCAUUUGUCAAGAGCGCUUU
rnacentral:rRNA from 1 species